CUUCAAGUCAAUCCAGUACACAGAAGUUAUGUGCAAGAUGUUAGCAUGGACAACAUAGACUGAAAAACACAAUCAAGUUGCAGGGAUUGUGUUCCAAAACAUCUGCACAGAAUACAGGCUGGAUCACACUCAGUCCAGAUGGGAGAUAACACACAGGGCAAUUGAGAAUGACAGGGCUACAAUCUUGUGGGACUUCCAGAUCAAGACAGGCAAGCUGGUACUGGCCAACCACAAGUAAUAUGAG